UCGGACUUUACUGAACAAACAUCUAAUGGAAGGUGGAAGAAGAGACCAUCACACAAUGAUGGUGUUAUGGGGAACACAGGAGAUAAUAGUAGCAGAAUUUCACAAAAAAAUCAAAGAGGCAUUUGAAGUCUUUGACCAUGAGUCGAAUAAUACAGUGGAUGUGAGAUUCUUCCUAUUUUGCUCCCGACUGAUUUGAUCCUGCUGUGUGUCUCCCACUCCUUUGCGUCUACCUCCUCAUGGGUUCAGAUGCUUUGUGAUUCUGCACCUGCCUUCUCUCUCUGUGCCGUUCCUCUUCCCUCUCUCUUCCAUCUGUAUGUCUUGCUUUAAAACUCCCAAGGAAAA
rnacentral:sRNA from 1 species